CGAUGAUGCCAAUGAUGAUGAUGACGAUAAUGAUGAUGAUGAUGAUCAUCAUCAUCAUCAUCAUCAUCAUCGUCGUCGUCGUCAUCAUCAUCAUCG
rnacentral:pre_miRNA from 1 species